rnacentral:rRNA from 1 species
AGAGUUUGAUCAUGGCUCAGAUUGAACGCUGGCGGCAGGCUUAACACAUGCAAGUCGAACGGUAACAGGGAGAAGCUUGCUUCUUUGCUGACGAGUGGCGGACGGGUGAGUAAUGCUUGGGAAUCUGGCUUAUGGAGGGGGAUAACUACGGGAAACUGUAGCUAAUACCGCGUAAUAUCUUCGGAUUAAAGGGUGGGACUUUCGGGCCACCUGCCAUAAGAUGAGCCCAAGUGGGAUUAGGUAGUUGGUGGGGUAAAGGCCUACCAAGCCGACGAUCUCUAGCUGGUCUGAGAGGAUGACCAGCCACACUGGAACUGAGACACGGUCCAGACUCCUACGGGAGGCAGCAGUGGGGAAUAUUGCACAAUGGGGGGAACCCUGAUGCAGCCAUGCCGCGUGAAUGAAGAAGGCCUUCGGGUUGUAAAGUUCUUUCGGUGAUGAGGAAGGUGUUUGUUUUAAUAGAACAAGCAAUUGACGUUAGUCACAGAAGAAGCACCGGCUAACUCCGUGCCAGCAGCCGCGGUAAUACGGAGGGUGCGAGCGUUAAUCGGAAUGACUGGGCGUAAAGGGCACGCAGGCGGUGACUUAAGUGAGAUGUGAAAGCCCCGAGCUUAACUUGGGAAUUGCAUUUCAUACUGGGUCGCUAGAGUAUUUUAGGGAGGGGUAGAAUUCCACGUGUAGCGGUGAAAUGCGUAGAGAUGUGGAGGAAUACCGAAGGCGAAGGCAGCCCCUUGGGAAUAUACUGACGCUCAUGUGCGAAAGCGUGGGGAGCAAACAGGAUUAGAUACCCUGGUAGUCCACGCUGUAAACGCUGUCGAUUUGGGGAUUGGGCUUAGAGCUUGGUGCCCGUAGCU